rnacentral:lncRNA from 1 species
CAACUAAACUUUUUAUUAUCUUGGUUAUCACAGAUAGCAAGUUGGUGAUCAAAAGCUAUAAAUAUCGCUUCUUUAUUAGCCUUGACUGCCAAAAAAUCUCUGGAAAGUGAAGGGCAUUUUCCAUUACUGAUGCAACAUGGAACUGCAAAAUAUGUAAAACAAUGCAUGCAUAUUUAGAAGAAUUAUAACAUUGCUUGCCAUCUGAAAUUCCGGUUGGCAUUUUACCUCUGCUCUCUGAAUGUGUUGACUAUCUUCUAACAGUGUAGUGAGAGUGAUCAUAUCAUGAAAGCCUUUGUCGUGGUGGCAAGUAUGUCGGUGGAGAGAUACUUUGCACAGUAUGACUAAAGGAAAAAGAUAAACAGAAUAUGUGGCAGAAUCCAAGCUAGAACUACUGUUCCGAAUUUACAUAUUAUGUAUGAGCAGAAGGUACUAGUUACAUACUAGAAAACAUGUAGAUUAACAAAACCUGCUAAUAAUUGUUAAAUACACAGAACAUUGGAAAUCUUUGGAAGUCUACAUGCAUGGUGCAUUUUUCAAGUUAAACAACUUUACAGGAUUGAUUUAUGGCAAAACUACAAAUGAGGACAUUUGUAAUCUCUUUUAUUCCUGCAAAUUUCAUUUUGGGGCAUUUAUAGAUGGAAAGGCACUUUCAAUUGUAAAUUUAAAUUAAGUGCCACUUUCAGAUCUUGUCAAGCGUCUUAGUCGUGUUCUAGAUCGUACAUUGAUUAAUAUAUGCAGGCUUAUAAAAAUUAAGAAUAGUGUUCGUUAGAUGCCAUUUGCGUGGGCUCUUGUGACACAAUGUGAAAGCCUUUGUUGAUUCAGCACUAGCAAAGAGAAAACAGAUUGAUGCAACGUAGAGCCCAUUUUUAUAUUUUUAUUUUCUUUUUCAUCAAAUACUGCAUAAAUUAGAGCGUCAGGUUUAUGUGAAUCUUCUGGCUGAAUUGCUUGCCUGUUUGCGCUUGAAUUUUUCACAGAGGCAGUAUUUCGCGGUAUGUGCAUUUUAAUACCAUGUUUGGGUGCAUUAUUUGCCUGUUUUGUGCAGAAAAUAUCAUAAGUAGUUGGCACCUGCUGCGAUGCCAGACACAAAAGAAAGUCCAUUACUCGGAAAAGCAUGGUGGUGCUAUCGGUCAUUGUAAUGGAAAAAUAUGGCAUCUGCCGUGAUUAACACUAACAAUGACAGGUGAUGCCACUAUUCUGUUGCAGCAAAGUCUUUUGUUCUGUUGCCUGGCAAUGCUACAGACAACGUGUACUUUGGUUUUGUUAUUCGCCAGAAGGUUCAUAUGUGCCCAGCACUCUUAUUCACACAAUGUUCAGCAUGUUCACACUGCCUGAAAGCGAGGAUAGACACUAGCUUUGUCUGUUACUUAAGUAGCUGUGUGGGCACCAGUUUUGAGACACAAAUGAAAACAUUCUUAGUGCAAGCAAUUGUCGCCAGUGUGUAAGUGCUUGCAUCUCAAAGGCUGCGAGAAGUCCAGACAUUCUGCUGUUCAUUGAGCAUUGCUGGUGUUGACAAACACAUUGCAGAAUGAAGGGCUUAACUGCACAGCUGUUUCCAUAGCCAGAUAUGCGUCUCUCUGCACUCUGGCAAUUGUGUGGUAGUACGGGAGCAGUGUUAAGCCCUGAAGUCAGUACAAGCAGACAUGUACCUAUCAUAUCACUGUGCUUAAGACAGAGGACUCCGAAUUGCAUUGAGUGCGCAGAACAACAGAAACAUGCCACAUUUGGUGCAAGCAGCCUCCGUGGCUGAAGCUUGAUAUGUGAAGUAGGAAGGUCGCAACACAUUACAAGCACUGCAGCUGCCAGGUCCUUCUUUGUUAAUGAGUGCGUUGAGGUAGCAUGCUCAACUCUGGCUGUCUCCUGUGUGCGAGUUAGUUCUUGCAGAGAAACUGCAAUGCCUGCAUGUGCAGGCUUCUCAUUUUGCAAACACCUGUUUGCACUUGCAGCAAGAAACUCGAGACUCCUGCAUGCAGAUUCUUGCUCAGAACUUGUGAGGGGUGACUGGUGUGAAGGUUGUGGGCCGUGUGUGCGCGAGCAGUUCCCUGGGUCUGUGCUUUCCUCACUUAGAGUGAUAUAUGCUUCUAAAUGCCCUAAAGUCUGCAAUCUUGCAAGUCUCACUGUGCCUUUGUCCUAAGAGUGCCGAACUAGGCAUACGCGCUUGUCUUGAAAUACUUCUGGCAUGGCAGAUGCUGUGUCAGGUCUGUGAGGCUUGGUCCACAUUUCUGGGCAUUUGCCUCAUGAUAAGUAUAUUCUGUGGAUAGUGUGAUGUCUGCCCCAGGUGUUCAAACCUCCGGCCACCACUCUUGGUGCAAAAUAGUUGACGUCUAUGUAACACAGUUGAGUUUAUCCACUGGCUAUGCAUGCAAUUGAAAACUGUGUGAUGCGAUAUUCAGUGGUGUGUGAUUUUUUAUAUUGCAGUGGCAAGGUAUCAUAGUUAUGAAGUGUCCUGGCAUGACCUAUGUGCUACCUGCAAGUAAUAUUGUUUGAAGUGCAACAUGUGGUAUUGUUCUGUGCACGGUGGCUGUAUAGGUGAAGCUAGCUGCACAUGUUGAGCAACACACUGUUUUCUCUGUGCUUGCAUAUCUGCAUUUGAAGCAUGAUGGUAGCAUUUUACUCUUUAGCAGUGCAAUUCCACAUUAUGUGUCCCUGUCGGUGCACUGCAGACUCGGAAUAGUCGAGAAUAGCCAAGUGCCACAUGUUGAGACCUCAGUAGGGCAGUCAACUUUUGUCUGUUUAAACUUGUCUCGGUUCAAGACUGCAGAUUUUUUAUUACUGUAUUACAUUGUUUAAUUAUAAAGACAUCAUAUGUUGUGCAUUGUUCUUUUGCACUCAAAAUGAAGUUAAGCACACAUAUUCAAGAAAUCGAGACUUGGUUGAUUCUUCUCAAUUGCUUCAAGCAGUUGCAUACGUACAUUCAUCAGGUGUUCUGAAAUAAGUUGUCUGUUCCAAAAGGCUUUGCUAACGGCAAAACUUAAAAGACAAAGUACGUACUAGUAUUCUGUAUAUGUUACAUGUUGGUUUUGUCAGCCCUCUAUGAAUGUCUCCUUUCAGUUGCUUUUUGUGACAGAGGCCACAUAUCUUUGAUAUUGCUUGGGCCAAGCAAGCAGGAAGUUGAAAGCCCUGUUUGAAUUGACCAUUAAAAGAAACGCAUUGGAAACGUUGUUGACCAGCGAAAGUUUUGUUUGUUCAAUAUGAUCAAAAUUACAUGCCAUUCAAGUUCGGAUUAUCAAAAAAUCAACUGUUAUGCAGGGACAGUGCAUUUGUACAGUCUUGAAGAGAUAUUUUGUAUGUUUGCAGGUACAUGCCAACUCGGACAUAACACGUCAGUGUGUGCCACAUGAAUGGAUGUACGGAACUUUUUGGUGUGUGGAUGUGUUGUUACACAUCUGGCAUUACAUAUAAAAGUGUUUUUCUUCCCUGCAUUUUAUUGCAGGGUUUUUGGCUGCAAGAACGGUUGCGUGAUGAACAUGUGACCUUGCUUUUGAGAGUCGUGUUUUGUGCGCUAAUGUGCCUUUUAUUUGUUUGUUUCAUUUUAAGCAACUCAGUACAGUUGGUGCAGCUUUACCCUUUCCUGACAUUACUACAUCUUCAAUGCUGCCAAUUCAAUUUUCUAUAUUUAAAUUUCUGAGUUUUGUAAUACAAAGCUUGAAUAAUUUCGUUGUUUAUGCAUUGCUUUAACUUUUGAGAAUGUUCUGUAGGGAGCACUACAAAAGCCUCAGCAUCUCUAGUCGCAGACAAUGUUUGUAUGUUGUCAGCUGCUCUUUUUUUUUUUUUUUUUAAACUGCCACUGGGCAGUCUUAUUGAACUCACUGAUGCAUGAUGGAAGUGAAACUAAGAACGAUGCUGCAUUUGUAGCUUUUCACCUGUGUGGUUUUGCAUUUAUUCCGAUUUCCAUUGCUAUUUCCAUUGCUGAACGGUCCGAGUACCAUAAUAUCCCGAGCCAUCACUCAUGUCCUUUGUGAACUGAAGACCAAAGAAGGGGUAUGUAGGCAGUCUCUUUGUCUACAAGCACGUAUAAUGUUUAUAGGCUAAGAAUGAAUUCCCAAGAGUGGCCUGUAACUGAUAUGCUUUAUCAAUGUUUCCCACCAUUGUUCAAGCAAAAUUUUAUCUAAACUUCGUUCCCAUUCAAGCAGUCAAAGGAGGCACUGCAUUCUUUGUGAAGUAACUACAGGCUUGGUCUCGUAAGCUCCCUUUUUUUUUUUGACUGCUGCGACAGCUGCUUUCGUGAAGCCCAUGUGCAGUACAUACAGCCUCCCGCCUUUUUAGCUAUAUUGCACGAAUAUGGUCGUACGUCGUCCUGAAGGGAACAUCGCAUUAGACGACUCUUGCACAGGAGAGUGCUUAGAGCACUUGAGAAUACUUCUUCCGAUCUCGCUGACUAUCGCCGCUUAAAGGUGCUAAAAUGACUUGUGAUGGACGCUCGCGCGAUAUAGCUAAAAAUGCGGGAGGCUGUACACCUUUAACACUUUGUCGUGGUGUCUCCUUAUUUUUAAUGUUCCGACUAGUGGACAACAAGAAAAAAAAAAUUAUUGAAAAUGGUACCUGAAGGUAAACGCAACCUUUAACCAAAAACAAUGUCAUAGGUUACUUUAGCACAGAGAGUAAUUAAUGCAAAAGAAAGGUAAUUUAAGAGGUGCACUCUCAGGUUUGACGAGAAGGCUGAUGAAUUGCUCUGUAUCACUGCUGUUAAAUCCUGUUCUUGCAUCAGAAAGCCUUCAACUCAGAAUAACUGGCGCAUAUGUUUGUAACAGAUAUUUCAGCUAUUUUUGAGACAGUGCAUCACCUAUAAUAGUUCAAUAUCUGUAAUCAAUUUUUGUACUUGUGAAGACUGGCCUGUAGUAACAAAGUAAUUCUGACCUGUAGCAUGAAUGUUUAUGCGCAGUUUGUGUCGUACUUCCAAGAAAAUAUAUAAAUUUGGAGUGUAUAAGAACACUCUAUUGUAAUUUGUGACCGAGAUGGUUAUGAAUACGUAAGUAAAACGUAAAGUGUCACACAACUGCUGCCUAACUGUGUAUGGGUGUAGCUGUGGCAGCAACUCAUGAGUUCUGUGUGGCUCUUAUGGAGUGGACAACAUCUGGGUGUAUUUUGUGGACUUUGUAUUUUGCAAUAAAAGGGUUAUGAGCCAUGACUCGGGAUGUUAUAGUAAAUUUGACCGUGUACUGUCCUGGAGAUGUUUGUAGUGGCAGAAGCUACAUUGUUGUUUGAACAAGAUUGCUUGUUCUCAGUAUAAAAUGCACCGAACAUGUUGGUCACAGUGUCUCCUUCCAAAAUGCUGUGCUUGUCGCGAGUCAAAUCUCUCGUGAGAGAGGGCUGGAGUACUUAAGGGAGAGCACUACAUGUAUUGACUAUGUGGAGGUCAUAACCUAUGUGGCAAGCAACUAGUAUCUGCAUCAUAUUGAAAUUGUGAUUUAUUGACUAUAUCUUUUAAACCCAAUUAGCUCUAGCCACUUGGCCAUCUUUGAUCCAUGAUCAGUCACAUGUGGUUUGCUUCAAGAAGCUUGAGUGAUAAAGUCCUCACCUUUAGUGCCAUUUCAAGCAUUCAAGUUUGUGCUCAUUGGAAGCUGGAUACUCAGCUGGUGUUCUGCAAGCAACCACUAUAUUGUUUAUUUCUUGAUAUCCAUUGCCAACUAUAACAAGUCGGCCGAGCUUGCUGUUUGGCUUGGGAUUUCACGAUGAUACUGCUUCGUUUUGCUCGAUUAUUUUGAUGAGUUUGCGAGACGUAUGUGUGCGUAGAAGACUAUUACAGUCUACACUGGGCAUGAAUGUAUAAUGUGAAAAUUUAUAGCAAGUAUGGAGUUUCCAACACAAUAAAAGUAUGUUUAAUAAUCUAACUAUUCAUGUUGUUUGCAGGCUGAUGAUUUUUGCAUUGUAUAUUAUGUGUAACAAUUCCUGGUUUUAUGGGAUCACAGGUACUGAAUUCCUAAUUGAGGCUAGAAGCUUGCUAUGCUCGUCUUAAGUCUUGUUUAAGCUGCUAGGUAGUGGAUCCAUAGGCGGUACUCAAUGGAAUUGUGGGCUGUCAUGUGUUUUGAUGGAAAACUCCACAAAAACAGAAGUUAGUUCUCGCAUCACAUGCAAAUUUCGUAAAAUUCUCAUAGCUGCUUCUUAUGGGUUAAUUAUUUGUUUCAGCUUUUUUUUUUCACUUUUCAUAGUUUUGAUGGUAAGCCUCAGCAAGCAGCAUGAAUUACUCAUUGUCUGUGCACUGCUUGCUGUGCAAUGUUUUCUCUCUUCCAGCUUGUGUGAUGCAGAUUUUAGAAGCAUUGACUUUCAUUGACUGGGUCCAGAGUAGGCCAACUGACUUAGCACUUACUACUAAUCUGCAGAAUUCUCGAACCAACUACUAUGCAGUUUGGUAACGAAUUAAGGAUUUUUGCCUUACCGUAAGUUCCACCUUUCUGUGGUAUCAGUAUUUGUGGGACUAAAGCCCAGUUAUGUGGUCUCAUUUGAAUGUGUACCUCAGUAGUUCUACUUUGGAAACCCAUUGUUUUGCAAAAAGUGCUGUCAUGUGUGGAAGAGUUUGUUGGCAAGCCGUACACAUGGCUACCUUUCUUAUUUUAUAUAUUGUUUGAUGAGUGAAUGCAUGGUACUAUAAAUGUUCACUAUUCACUUUUAAAAUCCAUUCUGAAUAAUUAGAGGUGUUAAUAUUUUAACAAUUUUCUUUUAUUGAAACUUGUGGAUCACAUCUGGGUAUUGAAGUGAAAUAGCAAAGCUGCCUGCUACGAUCAAAUGUUUCAAUGAUAUGUUUUGCAAUUUGCAACCUAGCAGCUGCGAAUACCGGCUUGCACACUACUAAUGUUAUAGUGCUUAUCCCUCCACCUUUUUUUCCUUUCUCUCUGCUGCUUCAGCUACUACCAAUCUAUGACCACUCUGUUGGAAGUUUUAUUGACAGGAUUUGAAGGUGUCCUUGAGUGGUGGAUUUGUCAAAUUAACCAUACUUUUGACAUAUUGAACAAAGAGCACAGGCAACAGGAUUACGAGAAGUUUGUUUACUAUGUCAUGUUCAACAAACUAACCCUAAUUAGCACUUUUGUACAGCAUAGUUUUGAGCUCUCUGCUUAUUGAAUUGGAGUAGCAUAAGGUGCUUGUAAGCCAUGUUCAGUAACUCUGAUGCUUAUCUACGUCAGGAAAUCAAAUUCUUGGCAUUGUUACUGUAUUUAACAUGUUAAGCAGUAAGUUGGAUUGCUUCUGUGCUUGAACAAGUUUUGCCCAGUCUUUUGUGAAGUUCCUGACAAUACUAUUGACAAUUGUAAAUUAAGGCUGCAAAAAUGUGCAUGCUUUUGUGUCCCUUGUUCAUUUUCUGUCAUACAAGACCAGGGAAAGCACUCCUUGAACCCUUUGUAUGAUCUGGUCGUUGAUCGAAGAUAAAUAAUGGCUUUGCUGAGGCGUUCAUCAUUCAGCUUUUGGUUGUUUCCGUCUGUUAAUGGUGCGAGUGUGAGGCAACAUUGUCCAACUAGCCCAAGUUACUGUACUUUAAUUAGGGAUGCUGUGGUGUACAAAAUAUGUGCGUGUGUGUGGACAGCCGUAUACAAGAACAAAGUGCGUGGCCCUGGUGGCCCGUAUCGAUUGUUUUCAAAGUGUUCUGCCAUUGCCGUCUCAUUGGCACAAGGCACCCACUUGUAUCAAGGUCUUCCCUCGGCACACCGUGCCAUAUGUGCAGCUGCUGCUGGAGUGCUCUCUUGCGUGCUCUGCCACUAUUGUUGCUAUUUUACACAAUAAAGUUUCUUUUGUAUGCUACGCAA